CGUGUAGGCGGCUUGGUAGGUCCGCUGUGAAAACUCGAGGCUCAACCUCGAGAUGUCGGCGGAAACCACUUGGCUAGAGUCCGGAAGAGGAGAGUGGAAUUCCCGGUGUAGCGGUGAAAUGCGCAGAUAUCGGGAAGAACACCUAUGGCGAAGGCAGCUCUCUGGGACGGUACUGACGCUGAGACGCGAAAGCGUGGGGAGCGAACA
rnacentral:rRNA from 1 species